rnacentral:rRNA from 1 species
GAUGAACGCUGGCGGCGUGCCUAAUACAUGCAAGUCGAGCGAACAGAUGAGGAGCUUGCUCCUCUGACGUUAGCGGCGGACGGGUGAGUAACACGUGGAUAACCUACCUAUAAGACUGGGAUAACUUCGGGAAACCGGAGCUAAUACCGGAUAAUAUAUUGAACCGCAUGGUUCAAUAGUGAAAGACGGUUUUGCUGUCACAUAUAGAUGGAUCCGCGCCGCAUUAGCUAGUUGGUAAGGUAACGGCUUACCAAGGCAACGAUGCGUAGCCGACCUGAGAGGGUGAUCGGCCACACUGGAACUUAGACACGGUCCAGACUCCUACGGGAGGCAGCAGUAGGGAAUCUUCCGCAAUGGGCGAAAGCCUGACGGAGCAACGCCGCGUGAGUGAUGAAGGUCUUCGGAUCGUAAAACUCUGUUAUUAGGGAAGAACAAAUGUGUAAGUAACUAUGCACGUCUUGACGGUACCUAAUCAGAACGCCACGGCUAACUACGUG